rnacentral:rRNA from 1 species
UGCGCCUACGGGGCGCAGCAGUAGGGAAUCUUCCACAAUGGGCGAAAGCCUGAUGGAGCAACGCCGCGUGGGUGAAGAAGGUCUUCGGAUCGUAAAACCCUGUUGUUAGAGAAGAAAGUGCGUGAGAGUAACUGUUCACGUUUCGACGGUAUCUAACCAGAAAGCCACGGCUAACUACGUGCCAGCAGCCGCGGUAAUACGUAGGUGGCAAGCGUUAUCCGGAUUUAUUGGGCGUAAAGAGAACGCAGGCGGUCUUUUAAGGCUGAUGGGAAAGCCUUCGGCUUAAACGGAGUAGGGCAUU